GGAAUAUUGGUCAAUGGGCGAGAGCCUGAACCAGCCAAGUAGCGUGCAGGAUGACGGCCCUAUGGGUUGUAAACUGCUUUUAUAUAGGGAUAAAGUGACCCACGUGUGGGUUUUUGUAGGUACUAUAUGAAUAAGGACCGGCUAAUUCCGUGCCAGCAGCCGCGGUAAUACGGAAGGUCCGGGCGUUAUCCGGAUUUAUUGGGUUUAAAGGGAGCGUAGGCUGUCGUUUAAGCGUGUCGUGAAAUGCCGCGGCUCAACCGUGGCACUGCGGCGCGAACUGGGCGACUUGAGUGUGCUGAAAGUAGGCGGAAUUCGUGGUGUAGCGGUGAAAUGCUUAGAUAUCACGAGGAACUCCGAUUGCGAAGGCAGCUUACUGUAUCACAACUGACGCUGAAGCUCGAAGGCGCGGGUAUCGAACA
rnacentral:rRNA from 1 species